rnacentral:rRNA from 1 species
AUGAACGCUGGCGGCGUGCCUCAUCCCUGCCAGUCGAGCGAACGGACGAGAAGCUUGCUUUUCUGAUGUUAGCGGCGGACGGGUGAGUAACACGUGGAUAACCUACCUAUAAGACUGGGAUAACUUCGGGAAACCGGAGCUAAUACCGGAUAAUAUUUUGAACCGCAUGGUUCAAAAGUGAAAGACGGUCUUGCUGUCACUUAUAGAUGGAUCCGCGCUGCAUUAGCUAGUUGGUAAGGUAACGGCUUACCAAGGCAACGAUGCAUGGCCGACCUGAGAGGGUGAUCGGCCACACUGGAACUGAGACACGGUCCAGACUCCUACGGGAGGCAGCAGUAGGGAAUCUUCCGCAAUGGGCGAAAGCCUGACGGAGCAACGCCGCGUGAGUGAUGAAGGUCUUCGGAUCGUAAAACUCUGUUAUUAGGGAAGAACAUAUGUGUAAGUAACUGUGCACAUCUUGACGGUACCUAAUCAGAAAGCCACGGCUAACUACGUG